CCCAACUAUCCCUAUUAAUCAUUACGUCAACCCUAGAAACCAACAAAAUAGGAUCAAACGUCCUAUUUUAUUAUUCCAUGCUAAUGUAUUCAAGCGUUAGCCUGCUUUAAACACUCUAAUUUUUUCAAAGUAACAGUCCUGUUUCCCCGCAACACCAAAUUAAUGGCAUCACGGUUCUUCAAGAAGGAGGAAUCAGCGAGGCCAGUGCAUACCAUUGGCACGACCAACCUGCUGACCCCGAAAUUCAACUACGAGCUUUUUAACUGCAACAACUUUAAUAUACGCUAUUGGAGCUGGAAUUACCGCGGCUGCUGGCACCAGACUUGCCCU
rnacentral:misc_RNA from 1 species